GAUAAACGCUGGCGGCGUGCCUAAUACAUGCAAGUCGAGCGAACAGACGAGGAGCUUGCUCCUCUGAUGUUAGCGGCGGACGGGUGAGUAACACGUGGAUAACCUACCUAUAAGACUGGGAUAACUUCGGGAAACCGGAGCUAAUACCGGAUAACAUGUUGAACCGCAUGGUUCAACAGUGAAAGACGGUCUUGCUGUCACUUAUAGAUGGAUCCGCGCCGCAUUAGCUAGUUGGUAAGGUAACGGCUUACCAAGGCAACGAUGCGUAGCCGACCUGAGAGGGUGAUCGGCCACACUGGAACUGGGACACGGUCCAGACUCCUACGGGAGGCAGCAGUAGGGAAUCUUCCGCAAUGGGCGAAAGCCUGACGGAGCAACGCCGCGUGAGUGAAGAAGGUCUUCGGAUCGUAAAACUCUGUUAUUAGGGAAGAACAAAUGUGUAAGUAACUAUGCACGUCUUGACGGUACCUAAUCAGAAAGCCACGGCUAACUACGUG
rnacentral:rRNA from 1 species